rnacentral:rRNA from 1 species
CUUGCUAAGUUUGAUGGCGACCGGCGCACGGGUGAGUAACACGUAUCCAACCUGCCGAUGACUCGGGGAUAGCCUUUCGAAAGAAAGAUUAAUACCCGAUGGCAUAAUGAUUCCGCAUGGUUUCAUUAUUAAAGGAUUCCGGUAAAGGAUGGGGAUGCGUUCCAUUAGGUUGUUGGCGGGGUAACGGCCCACCAAGACUACGAUGGAUAGGGGUUCUGAGAGGAAGGUCCCCCACAUUGGAACUGAGACACGGUCCAAACUCCUACGGGAGGCAGCAUG